AUGUGCUCCGAUUGUAGACCUAUCAAUGCUAUCACCAUUCGCUAUAGGUAUCCCAUUCCACGCCUUGAUGAUAUGCUUGAUGAACUUAGUGGUGCCACUAUAUUUUCAAAAAUUGAACUUAAGAGUGGUUACUAUCAAAUCUGGAUACAAGAGGGUGAUGAAUGGAAAACCGCUUUCAAAACCAAGUUUGGCUUGUAUGAGUGGUUAGUCAUGCCUAUGGGUCUUUUGGAAGCACCGGGUACUUUUAUGCGCCUUAUGAAUCAUGUCUUUCGCCCUUACAUCAGUAUAUUUGUUGUGGUCUACUUUGAUGAUAUCCUUGUUUAUAGCAAAUCUCUUAGAGAUCAUGUCACCCAUGUUCGAACCGUUUUGCAAACUCUUCGAAAAGAGCACCUCUAUGCUAAUAUGGAGAAAUGCCUUUUUGGCGUUGACAAGCUUGUUUUCUUGGGUUUUGUUGUUUCUACUAAGAGUGUUCAUGUUGAUGAGUCCAAAAUCAAGGCUAUUAAGACUUGGCCACAACCAACCAAUUUGCAUCAAGUGCGCAGCUUUCUUGGCCUUACGGGUUUCUAUCAUAGCUUUGUGAAGAAUUUUAGCACCAUUGCUUCUCCUUUGCAUGCUUUGAGCAAGAAGAAUGCGUCUUUUGUUUGGGGACCAUCCCAAGAUACCGCUUUCAAUGAGCUUAAGAAUUUGCUUACUCAUGCUCCCGUGCUUGCAUUACCCAACUUUGACAAACCCUUUGAGAUUCAUUGUGAUACUAAUUGUAAUGACAUAGGAGGUGUGUUAACGCAAGAAAAGCGCCCCAUAGCUUAA
rnacentral:rRNA from 1 species